GCCAGGUGCAGUGGAGCAUACCUGUAAUCCCAGCAAUUUGGGAGGCUGAGGCAAGAGGAUCACAUGUUCCAGGGUAGUCUGGGCAACUUAGUGAGACCCUCUCUU
rnacentral:sRNA from 1 species